GACGAACGCUGGCGGCGUGCUUAACACAUGCAAGUCGAACGGAAAGGCCCUGCUUUUGUGGGGUGCUCGAGUGGCGAACGGGUGAGUAACACGUGAGUAACCUGCCCUUGACUUUGGGAUAACUUCAGGAAACUGGGGCUAAUACCGGAUAGGAGCUCCUGCUGCAUGGUGGGGGUUGGAAAGUUUCGGCGGUUGGGGAUGGACUCGCGGCUUAUCAGCUUGUUGGUGGGGUAGUGGCUUACCAAGGCUUUGACGGGUAGCCGGCCUGAGAGGGUGACCGGCCACAUUGGGACUGAGGUACGGCCCAGACUGCUACGGGAGGCAGCAGUGGGAAAUAUUGCACAAUGGGCGGAAGCCUGAUACAACAACGCCGCGUGCGGGAUGACGGCCUUCGGGUUGUAAACCGCUUUCGCCUGUGACGAAGCGUGAGUGACGGUAAUGGGUAAAGAAGCACCGGCUAACUACGUG
rnacentral:rRNA from 1 species